UCAGGCCACCGCCCCCACCCUCCCCUCACCGCCUGCACUGCCGCCCCGAAAUUAGCUCGGCUUUUCGAUCUCUCUCCUUCCCUCGCCGUCCCAACCACUCUCUCCCUGGCAUCCGCGCGCAUAUACAAGGGCGAUAGAAAGAGGGGCGGCGCGAAGACCAUGCUCGGCGCCAAGCCCGCGGCUCGCUCCGAACGACUCUUCAAGGAGGGGCUGGGCAUCGCACCAGGCGUUGUCGGCGUCAACCCCACGACAGCCACCUCCUCCAAUGCCAACGGAGAUUGCAGAAGUAUCAGCGCUAGCGUCAACAACAACGGGUCUGCAAGGCGAAGUGAUCGGGACGGCGUCCGCGGCUUCGGCGUGGUCGACAACCGCGACAGCGCGACUGUGCCAACCUUGCAUGCAAGGAACGUGAGUGCGCCCGACGACGCCCCCACGAGCUCCGCGAGCCGCCUGCUUGACUCGAGUGUGCCCGUAGACCAGGAGACGGUCUACUGCAACCUGUGGCUCUUUAUUUGGCUCAAGACCAUCGGCUCCUUCGACUCGGGUGCCUUCAGCGCUGCCCUCGGUGCCCCCAACGGCAUCAGCGAGACCUGGGAUCUAAGCACGAAGCUGCAAGGCGCACUGACCUCGAGCGUGUUCCUCGGGAACGUGUUGGGGUGUCCGCUGGCCGGGCAUCUCUUCUCCCGCUACGACGAGAAGCGUGUCUUGUGCACCGCCCUCAUCGUACACACAUUGUUCACGUUUCUCUACGCCGCCUUCCCCAUCUACGGCGUGGCCCUGCUGAACCGCUUCUUUAUCGGCAUCAGCCUCUCCUUCAUCGUUGUGUACACUCCUGUCUGGGUGGACGAGUUUGCGCCAAAGAACCGACAGAGCGUAUGGAUGGCGUCACACAACGCCGGCGUGCCGCUAGGCAUCAUGCUUGGCUACCUCCUCGCCGCCGGCCCGCCAGCCUUCACAAGCUCCAUCAGCUGGUCCUGGUCGUUCUACAUCAAAUGCGUGCUCAUGGUACCGACAGUCGUGUACGUGGCACGUUCAGAUGCGCGCUCCAUCAACACGCGCAAGGCAAGCGGUGGUGGCGGCGACAGCAAGGGCUACGAUGACGGUGGCGACGGCAACCACGCUGGCGACUCCGGUGCCGUCAGCGCUUGCGUGGUAAGCGGAGAAGGCCCGAAUGGCGUAGCAAGUGCGAUGGUCGCCUCACUGCCGGUGGCAACGGCGAACGCGAGAGCGUCUGCCCCGGCCGGCACCUUGCGGUCGACUAGUUGGGAGGUGAGUAUGACGCAGCCGCUGCGCAAGCUGGCAGAUCGUGCCUUAGCGACGAUUCGGAACCUCUACUCUUCCAUGGCGCCGCUUUUUUCGAACGUGGUGUACAUGUGCAGCGUCGUGUCGCUCACUAGCCUGUACUUUGUCGCGACGGGGCUGCAGAACUUCGUGACGCAGUAUCUUCGCGAACCGCCGUUCAACGCCUCGAUGGCCAUUAUCAUGGUCGGCUUCGGCACGGCCGUCAUUUUGGCACCGGUGUGCGGCGUCAUCGCCGGCGGCAUCCUGCUCGACCGCAUCGGCGGCUACAAGCGCAACCUCCGCCGCGUCGCCUUCUUUGUCUUGGCCUGGGGUGUGUGUGCGGUGCUCUUCUCAGUCAUCUGCAUCUUUGUGCGCACGACACGCGACUUCCUGCUUGUCAUGUCCGUCGUGCUGUUCUGUGGCGGGGCCAUUGUCCCCCCUGGUGCCGGACUUACGAUGGCGUCCCUGCCAGACCACCUUCGCUCCAUCGGCGCGGCCUUCUCGCAAACCAUCUACAACCUACUCGGUAACUUUAGUGGGCCGCUCGUGUGCGGCUGGGUGGCAGACGCGACGGGGAGUCUGCGCUACGGUAUCAUCACGCUGCUUCUGUCCAGCGCGCUGGGUGUCGUGCCCAUCGUAGGCAUCGUGCACUUCGCCUUCUACGGUGGUGGAAGCGGGAUCGGUUCGGCGAUGAAUGCGCUGAUCGGCAGUAGCGGCGACGACGGCGCAGGCGUCGCGACAGAGGUAGUGGCUCAGGAUGAAGAGGAUGAUGAGGUGCUCGAGAUGCAGGGGAGUGCACUAGUAGCGGAAAAGGACGACGUGGUGGCGGCCGCCGUGCUCGGCGGACAUGUCUACGGCCGCGACGGUGCGAAGGUGCUCGCAGAUGCGAUCACAAUGCAGAAUGGCAAGCUCACCGCAUCACCAGCGACAGCGUCUAUGCGGAGCGGCGCCGCUGGGUCGACUCUGGAGGUGCAGAUCAAAUCACCACUGCAGGUGUGCCAGCCGCUCGCAGCGGUGCGCCGUAUGUCGAGCGACAGUGGAAGAGGUACGGCCUGCAACGAAAAAGCGGCCGUCCCGCUGCUGUUACGAAGCAGCGCGCACUCACUGACAUCGCCGGCGCUGCCGGCCUGCUCUUUCCGCACCCCAUCCACACCCGCAGCCGUCUCACCAGCAGCAGCGCCACUGCCGCUGAUGACGCCGCCUACGCAGCCUUCUCGCAUUGCUGCCGCGGGGCCCACCUGCGACAUGUCGGGGCUGCUACGCGGGCCAGGAACCGCGCGGCCUGUGGCGCCGGCCAGGACCUCCUCGUCGACGAGGGAGGCCGCUGAGCUCCCUGCCGCCUUAUCUCUCAACUAUGCGGGGCGUCGCGGCGAACAGCAGAAGGCGGACUUGGUGCUGAUGAACCUCGAGGUGGAAGCGACGAGAGUCAUGUCACUUCCCAACCAGCACGCUUUCGGGGUCGAUCUGGUGCGGGCGUGGCUGGACAACGGAGUGCAAGAGCCGAACUUGCCCCCGCGCCCCUCCUCCAGAAGUCUGUCGCGCAGCAUCGGUGAGGCUGGCGUGGCGCACCCGCCGCACAUGGAGCUCCUGCCCACCCACAUCGCCAACAGCAGUUUGGCAAGUCUCGGAAGUGCCGGUGCCGCUGCGCCGACUCCACCCCAUCACUGCAGCACGCUCUCGCAACGGCACUGCAACAAUGUCGAACACGUAACGGAGGAGACAGGCGUGAGACAAACCCACACGCGCACUCAUGCAGGUGAGCACACGCACAUGUAGGCUCUGCUGCGCCUCUCCCUCUCGCUCGCUCUCUGCUUCUUGCACCCUCAUUGCUGCGACACAGAGGUGGGGGCGGAUAUAGUGCUUUCCUCACAAGACGGACAUAAGUAAUGACCUCGUCGCUCUGUCCCUUGUUUUCUGUGCAUGUCUGUCCCUGAUCACCCCUUCGCUGCCGGUUAUAAGGCUGUCUUGCUUUGGAUGCACGUGUGUGUGUGUGUGUGUGUUCGUGUCAAGAGCGUGAAGCCACUUGGUGUGCUGCUUCUGCCUCGAUGCGCGCUGGGUUUUGUCUGUGCAUCUAUGUAUAACGGAGUUUGUGGCCGACGGCCCCCGUUGAGCAACCUUCCCCCUCCUCUCUCUCUCUUGGACACGCCCGGCGCCGCUGUUGUGCUCCUUCCGCUCUCCUCUUGUACCGUCUCUUCACUCGCCUCCAACCGUUUAUCAUCUUGUCUGGGUAGGGUCUGUCUUGUCGCUCCCUCCCUCUACCUCUUGCUGGCCAGGUGGCACCUCGUGAUCACCCCCGCGUAUAGGCGCACACUCACUUACUCGGCUAGGCAUCGCCUCCGCCUCCCUUCCCUUUCCGCUCUUCUCGUGUUGUGGUUUUUCGAGUAUCACGGCUAUGUGUUGUGCGUCGUGCGUGAUGCAUGUGUUUGUGUUCUGCGUGUGCGUGUGUGUGUGUGCGUGAGGGUAGGCGUGCUCGGCGCCAUUAUGGCUCACCUAUUCCUCUCUCCAUCUCCCUCCCCUCCGAAGUGGUAGUGUUUUCCGCGCAGCGAGGGGGGGGGGCUUCAUCCUCCUCUCAUUAUUCUUGUUGUUCCGAUGGCGAUGGCGCCGAUGAGAAAAAGAGCUCCGACACACACACGCACACGCACAUGAUCUCGACUUCCCCCUUCGGUGCGGAGGAGCGGCAGCAGAAAAAACGCCGCCGCUCAGCAAAGCCCAUCACAAUGGAACCGAAGGACGAGAGAGAGGCAAACGCCUGUGCCGUCGCGCAACAAGGGUUUGGAUCGAGGGAGGUACGCAGCGCCUCCAUUUUUCAUAUUCUCGCGCCCCUCGCUCUCCCUCUCGUGCGUGUGCGUGUGUGUAUGUAUGUAGGUCGUCAACACAGUUGGUGGAUUGGGCAAGUGUUCUUUUCGAGUGCUUCUCCACCUGUAAGUCGACGCACGUCACGGUACGCUGUGGCGAUGGUGGGACUCGUGCACAAACAUCACCUUCAGGCAAAGGGCGGGGAGCAUUAAGAAGCGUCAUUACCACCGCCGCCA
rnacentral:misc_RNA from 1 species